rnacentral:rRNA from 1 species
GAUGAACGCUGGCGGCGUGCUUAACACAUGCAAGUCAAACGAAGCACUCUAUUUGAUUUUCUUCGGAAAUGAAGAUUUUGUGACUGAGUGGCGGACGGGUGAGUAACGCGUGGGUAACCUGCCUCAUACAGGGGGAUAACAGUUGGAAACGACUGCUAAUACCGCAUAAGCGCACAGGAUUGCAUGAUCCGGUGUGAAAAACUCCGGUGGUAUGAGAUGGACCCGCGUCUGAUUAGCCAGUUGGCAGGGUAACGGCCUACCAAAGCGACGAUCAGUAGCCGACCUGAGAGGGUGACCGGCCACAUUGGGACUGAGACACGGCCCAAACUCCUACGGGAGGCAGCAGUGGGGAAUAUUGCACAAUGGGGGAAACCCUGAUGCAGCGACGCCGCGUGAGCGAAGAAGUAUUUCGGUAUGUAAAGCUCUAUCAGCAGGGAAGAAGAAUGACGGUACCUGACUAAGAAGCACCGGCUAAAUACGUGCCAGCAGCCCGCGGUAAUACGUAUGGUGCAAGCGUUAUCCGGAAUUUACUGGGUGUAAAGGGAGCGCAGGCGGUGCGGCAAGUCUGAUGUGAAAGCCCGGGGCUCAACCCCGGUACUGCAUUGGAAACUGUCGUACUAGAGUGUCGGAGGGGUAAGUGGAAUUCCUAGUGUAGCGGUGAAAUGCGUAGAUAUUAGGAGGAU